AGGUUUCCGUAGGUGAACCUGCGGAAGGAUCAUUAUCAAAACAGCGGACUUCGGUCCUUGCUGCACCCUUGUCUUUUGCGUACCGUAUGUUUCCUCGGCGGGCUUGCCUGCCGGUUGGACAUUAUCAAACCUUUUUGUAGUUGCAAUCAGCGUCAGAAAAUAAACAAUAAUUACAACUUUCAACAACGGAUCUCUUGGUUCUGGCAUCGAUGAAGAACGCAGCGAAAUGCGAAAAGUAGUGUGAAUUGCAGAAUUCAGUGAAUCAUCGAAUCUUUGAACGCACAUUGCGCCCCUUGGUAUUCCAUGGGGCAUGCCUGUUCGAGCGUCAUUUUGUACCCUCAAGCACUGCUUGGUGUUGGGUGUUUGUCCUGCAAAGGACUCGCCUGAAAGCGAUUGGCGGCCAACGUACUGGUGGUAGAGCGCAGCACAAUUUGCGUCUCUCCCUUCUACGUCGGCGUCCAUGAAGCCUUUUUUCAACGUUUGACCUCGGAUCAGGUAGGGAUACCCGCUGAACUUAAGCAUAUCAUAAGCGGAGGAGUCAUAG
rnacentral:rRNA from 1 species